rnacentral:rRNA from 1 species
AUUGAACGCUGGCGGCAUGCCUUACACAUGCAAAUCGAACGGUAACGGGCCUUCGGGUGCCGACGAGUGGCGAACGGGUGAGUAAUACAUCGGAACGUGCCCGAUCGUGGGGGAUAACGAGGCGAAAGCUUUGCUAAUACCGCAUACGAUCUACGGAUGAAAGCAGGGGACCGCAAGGCCUUGCGCGGACGGAGCGGCCGAUGGCAGAUUAGGUAGUUGGUGGGAUAAAAGCUUACCAAGCCGACGAUCUGUAGCUGGUCUGGGAGGAUGAUCAGCCACACUGGGACUGAGACACGGCCCAGACUCCUACGGGAGGCAGCAGUGGGGAAUUUUGGACAAAGGGCGCAAGCCUGAUCCAGCCAUGCCGCGUGCAGGAUGAAGGCCUUCGGGUUGUAAACUGAUUUUGUACGGAACGAAAAGCCUUCUUUUAAUACAGGAGGGUCAUGACGGUACCGUAAGAAUAAGCACCGGCUAACUACGUG